rnacentral:tRNA from 1 species
GGGCACAUGGGGGCUACAUUUUAGCGGCUCAUAACCGCUUGGUUGGGGGUUCGAGUCCCUCCGGGCCCACCA